rnacentral:rRNA from 1 species
AUGAACGCUGGCGGCGUGCCUAAUACCUGCAAGUCGAGCGAACAGAUGAGGUGCUUGCUCCUCUGACGUUAGCGGCGGACGGGUGAGUAACACGUGGAUAACCUACCUAUAAGACUGGGAUAACUUCGGGAAACCGGAGCUAAUACCGGAUAAUAUAUUGAACCGCAUGGUUCAAUAGUGAAAGACGGUUUUGCUGUCACUUAUAGAUGGAUCCGCGCCGCAUUAGCUAGUUGGUAAGGUAACGGCUUACCAAGGCAACGAUGCGUAGCCGACCUGAGAGGGUGAUCGGCCACACUGGAACUGAGACGCGGUCCAGACUCCUACGGGAGGCAGCAGUAGGGAAUCUUCCGCAAUGGGCGAAAGCCUGACGGAGCAACGCCGCGUGAGUGAUGAAGGUCUUCGGAUCGUAAAACUCUGUUAUUAGGGAAGAACAAAUGUGUAAGUAACUAUGCACGUCUUGACGGUACCUAAUCAGAAAGCCACGGCUAACUACGUG